rnacentral:snoRNA from 2 species
CCCCUCUCAGGGUCGCACCCGGAGAGUUUCCAGUACUCUACCAGUCUCGACUAUGGGAGGGAGAGUCAAGCAAAAGCAUACCCAUUCCAUUCCUAGCUUGGGCAGUGGCUAGCGAGUGGAAGGCAAUCUGCUAUAAGC